rnacentral:rRNA from 1 species
CAAGAAGACCCUAAGAAUUUUAAAGAUAAUAAUUUUAAUAUUAAAAUUAUUAUCUUUUGGUUGGGGCAACUAAAAAAGAUUAUAAACUUUUUAUUUAAUAAAAUGAUCCAUUAUUAAUGAUAAUUUGAUAAAAAUACUCUAGGGAUAACAGCGUAAUAAUUUUUGAUAGAACAUAUAGACAAUAAUAGUUUGCGACCUCGAUGUUGGAUUAGGAUACUUUUUUAAUGAAGAUGUUAAAAAAAGAAGUUUGUUCAACUUUUAAAGUCCUACUUGAUCUGAGUUCA